ACCCGACUGAUGAGCCCCAAAUAGAGCAAAACGAGCGUCUUGGAU
rfam:Schistosoma mansoni strain Puerto Rico chromosome W, complete genome